rnacentral:rRNA from 1 species
GAUGAACGCUAGCGGGAGGCUUAACACAUGCAAGUCGAGGGGCAGCAUAGGGUAGCAAUACUCUGAUGGCGACCGGCGCACGGGUGAGUAACGCGUAUGCAACCUACCCUUUACCGGGGGAUAGCUCGGAGAAAUCCGGAUUAAUACCCCAUGACAUUCCGGGGGCGCAUGUUUCCGGGAUUAAAACUACGGUGGUAAAGGAUGGGCAUGCGUAACAUUAGCUAGUUGGUGAGGUAACGGCUCACCAAGGCUACGAUGUUUAGGGGACCUGAGAGGGUGAUCCCCCACACUGGUACUGAGACACGGACCAGACUCCUACGGGAGGCAGCAGUGAGGAAUAUUGGUCAAUGGGCGCAAGCCUGAACCAGCCAUCCCGCGUGCAGGAAGAAGGCGCUAUGCGUUGUAAACUGCUUUUGCAGGGGAAGAAACACCGGUCGUGACCGGGACUGACAGUACCCUGUGAAUAAGCAUCGGCUAACUCCGUGCCAGCAGCCGCGGUAAAAGUCACG